AUUGAACGCUGGCGGCAGGCCUAACACAUGCAAGUCGAGCGGAUGAAGGGAGCUUGCUCCUGGAUUCAGCGGCGGACGGGUGAGUAAUGCCUAGGAAUCUGCCUGGUAGUGGGGGAUAACGUCCGGAAACGGGCGCUAAUACCGCAUACGUCCUGAGGGAGAAAGUGGGGGAUCUUCGGACCUCACGCUAUCAGAUGAGCCUAGGUCGGAUUAGCUAGUUGGUGGGGUAAAGGCCUACCAAGGCGACGAUCCGUAACUGGUCUGAGAGGAUGAUCAGUCAACCUGAACUUAGAACCCGGCCCGACCCCCUCGGGGGGGCCGCGUGGGGAAUUUUUGGACAUGGGGGGAAACCCUGUCCCGCCCAGGCCGCGGGGGUAAAGAAGGUUUUCGGUUUGUAAACCCCUUUAGGUGGGGGGAAAGGGCGGAAAGUUAAAACCUGGCUUUUUGAAGGUUACCAAAAAAAAAGCCCCCGCCAACCUUGGU
rnacentral:rRNA from 1 species